rnacentral:rRNA from 1 species
UCGGGAAUUUUGGGCAAUGGGGGAAACCCUGACCCAGCAACGCCGCGUGAAGGAUGAAGUAUUUCGGUAUGUAAACUUCGAAAGAAUAGGAAGAAUAAAUGACGGUACUAUUUAUAAGGUCCGGCUAACUAUGUGCCAGCAGCCGCGGUAAUACGUAGGGACCAAGCGUUGUUCGGAUUUACUGGGCGUAAAGGGCGCGUAGGCGGCAAUUCAAGUCAUCUGUGAAAUCUCCGGGCUUAACUCGGAACGGUCAGAUGAUACUGCUUUGCUAGAGUGCAGAAGGGGCAAUCGGAAUUCUUGGUGUAGCGGUGAAAUGCGUAGAUAUCAAGAGGAACACCUGAGGUGAAGACGGGUUGCUGGGCUGACACUGACGCUGAGGCGCGAAAGCCAGGGGAGCAAACGGGAUUAGAUACCCAGGUAGUCCCUGAGCGGGCUGGCAAGGCGCAU